rnacentral:rRNA from 1 species
CCAGACUCCUACGGGAGGCAGCAGUGAGGAAUAUUGGUCAAUGGGAGGAAUCCUGAACCAGCCAUGCCGCGUGCAGGACGACGGCUCUACGAGUUGUAAACUGCUUUUGUACCGGGGUAAAAUGCCUUACGAGUAGGGUUUUGAAAGUACGGUACGAAUAAGGAUCGGCUAACUCCGUGCCAGCAGCCGCGGUAAUACGGAGGAUCCGAGCGUUAUCCGGAUUUAUUGGGUUUAAAGGGUGCGUAGGCGGUUUUAUAAGUUAGAGGUGAAAUCUCGGGGCUCAACUCCGAAAUUGCCUGUAAUACUGUAGGACUAGAGAGUAGUUGCGGUAGGCGGAAUGUAUGGUGUAGCGGUGAAAUGCUUAGAUAUUGCGCAGAACUCCGAUUGCGAAGGCAGCAUACCGGCGGCGAUCUGACGCUGAGGCACGAAAGCGUGGGUAUCGAACAGGAUUAGAUACCCGCGUA